rnacentral:RNase_P_RNA from 1 species
GCCGCAGACCGCCUUAUCGUCGUCCUGAUUUAUUGGGAGGGAGGAAAGUCCGGACACCACAGAGAAGCAUAGCGGGUAACACCCGUCGGCGUUAGAAAUGGCGCAAGGACAAGUGCAACAGAAAGUAUGUACAGGUAAUGCUGUAGUGAAACCAGGUAAACUCUAUGCGGUGAAAUACCAAGUAUAUCAGCAUUUAAGGGCUUCUCGUUCGUUGCUGAAGGGUAGGUAGCUUGAGUCAUGCAGUAAUGCAUGAUCUAGAUAAAUGAUAAGGUAUUGUUAGUAAUAACAAGAACAGAAUCCGGCUUACAGGUCUGCAUUUUUU